GACAGAGGGUGCAAACGUUGUUCGGAAUUACUGGGCGUAAAGCGUGCGCAGGCGGUUUGUUAAGACAGAUGUGAAAUCCCCGGGCUUAACCUGGGAACUGCGUUUGUAACUGGCAAGCUAGAGUGUGGCAGAGGGGGGUGGAAUUCCAAGUGUAGCAGUGAAAUGCGUAGAUAUUUGGAGGAACACCAAUGGCGAAGGCAGCCCCCUGGGUUAACACUGACGCUCAUGCACGAAAGCGUGGGGAGCAAACAGG
rnacentral:rRNA from 1 species